GAUGAACGUUGGCGGCGUGCCUAAUACAUGCAAGUCGAACGAAGACUGUAGUAAUACUGUCUUAGUGGCGAACGGGUGAGUAACGCGUGGGUGACCUGCCCCGAAGUGUGGGAUAACAGUCCGAAAGGAUUGCUAAUACUGCAUAAUAUCCAAGAGAUUAGAUGCUUUUGGAUUAAAGGAGUAAUUCGCUUCGGGAGGGGCCCGCGUCCCAUCAGCUAGUUGGUAAGGUAAUGGCUUACCAAGGCGAUGACGGGUAGGGGACCUGAGAGGGUGGCCCCCCACAAUGGAACUGAAACACGGUCCAUACACCUACGGGUGGCAGCAGUAGGGAAUAUUAGUAAUGGGCGAAAGCCUGAACUAGCAACGCCGCGUGUGCGAAGAAGGCCUUCGGGUCGUAAAGCACUUUUGAGAGGAUGAGGAAGGACGGUACUCUCAGAAUAAGUCUCGGCGAACUACGUG
rnacentral:rRNA from 1 species